UUGGAUCACCUCCUAACAGGGAGACAAACAACGAUUUUGAUGCCUGAGUACUUUUAUUCUUAGGCCGAAAUCCUGUCACCUUAGGUCGAUCGGUACCUCAACUUCAAUCCUGUGAGUCGAAAGACUGCACAACGAUUGAUUUUUAGUUCCUAAACGUUGUCUAGGUCACCCCAUAGAGGGUUCACUUCCUGGGCCAUUAGCUCAGGUGGUUAGAGCGCACCCCUGAUAAGGGUGAGGUCCCUGGUUCAAGUCCAGGAUGGCCCAUUCGGUGUUGGGGGUUUAGCUCAGUUGGUAGAGCGCCUGCUUUGCAAGCAGGAUGUCAGGAGUUCGAGUCUCCUAACCUCCACUGACCAAACUGUAUCCCCAUCUCCAAAAGGAAUUGGAGUAUGAAUUCGAUUGGAGUGUGAUUUUAGACGUGUCCGCUGGAUGACCCCAGCUUCCUGUCAUUCCAAAUGAAAGCAAAAACGAUUUUGCUGAUUGAAUUUGGUUGAUAAGAUGCUGGGCUCAAGUCAAAUGAUCAAGCAAUUGAUGAUUUGGUUUGAAGUUCUAGCAGAACCUUGACAACUGCAUAGGUGAGUCUGGAAAGAAUAAAGCAUCUCAUGGAUGAUGCGAUGACUCUAAAUAAUGAUCCGAAAGGAUGAUUAAGAGGAGUGAUUGCGAAUUCUAUAGAGCAAGAGCCGAGACUCCAUCACGUUCUUUUGAUUGUGUCGAGCAAUCAAGAGUUUGAUUUUUGAUUCAGCAAUGAAUCAAGAAGAAUCUGUUUCAACGACAGCAAGCGUGUUGGAGAUUAUAUGGUCAAGCUACAAAGGGCUCACGGCGGAUACCUUGGCACACAGAGGCGAUGAAGGA
rnacentral:tRNA from 1 species